rnacentral:rRNA from 1 species
AGAACGAACGCUGGCGGCAUGCCUAACACAUGCAAGUCGAACGAGACCCUCGGGUCUAGUGGCGCACGGGUGCGUAACGCGUGGGAAUCUGCCCUUCGGUUCGGAAUAACAGUUAGAAAUGACUGCUAAUACCGGAUGAUGUCUUCGGACCAAAGAUUUAUCGCCGAGGGAUGAGCCCGCGUAGGAUUAGCUAGUUGGAGAGGUAAAGGCUCACCAAGGCGACGAUCCUUAGCUGGUCUGAGAGGAUGAUCAGCCACACUGGACUGAGACACGGCCCAGACUCCUACGGGG